AGUCAAGUGUUUUGGCACCGUUUUGGUGAGCGGAGUUCUUUUGCCUGAGUCCAGGUGAAGAAAGAUG
rnacentral:sRNA from 1 species